UACGGAGGAUGCAAGCGUUAUCCGGAUUCAUUGGGUUUAAAGGGUGCGCAGGCGGGCAUUUAAGUCAGUGGUGAAAAGCUGCCGCUUAACGGUAGUCUUGCCAUUGAUACUUUUUGUCUUGAGUUUGUUUGAGGUAGGCGGAAUGUGCAGUGUAGCGGUGAAAUGCAUAGAUAUUGCACGGAACUCCGAUUGCGUAGGCAGCUUACUAGACCAAUACUGACGCUCAUGCACGAAAGCGUGGGGAUCAAACAGGA
rnacentral:rRNA from 1 species